rnacentral:rRNA from 1 species
UCAGACGAUGCGUCAUGCAUAUCAAUAAGCGGAGGAAAAGAAACUAACAAGGAUUCCCCUAGUAAGGGCGAGUGAAGCGGGAAGAGCUCAAAUUUGAAAUCUUCAAGGUUUUACCUUGACGAAUUGUAGUUUAAAGAAGUGUUUUCUGCUGAAGUUUUGGUAAAAGUUCUUUGGAAUAGGACAUCAUAGAGGGUGAGAAUCCCGUAUUUGACCAUUAUUUUCAGCUUUGUGAUACACUUUCAAAGAGUCGGAUUGUUUGGGAAUGCAGUCCAAAAUGGGUGGUAAAUUUCAUCUAAAGCUAAAUAUUGGCGAGAGACCGAUAGCGAACAAGUACCGUGAGGGAAAGAUGGAAAGAACUUUGAAAAGAGAGUUAAACAGUACGUGAGAUUGUCAAAAGGGAAGCGUUUGACACCAGUGUUGUUUUCUCGAAAAUCAAUUAAAAAUGGCUCGAUUUUGUAUUGCUGAGACCUUAAAAGCUCACUGUACAUUUUUCGUGUCUUUUUUAAUGCACUUUUCGUUUAACAAGUCAACAUCAGUUUCUUUUGUUGUAAAAGGGUCAUUGGAAGGUGGCUUUCUUUUCGGAGAAAGUGUUUAUAGCCUUUGGCCUCUGCAAUCGGAGAGACUGAGGUCUGCAGCGUAGACUCUUCGGGGUUAGAUACAUUUGUGCUAAGUUAUAGCUUUUUAUAGACAACUUGUUGACUAUAAUUAGUCUUGUAGCUUACUCGCUUAUGCUAUUUUACCUACGCUUAGGAUGUUGACUGAUAUGUAGUCGU